UCACGCACUGCAACCGGACGAGCUGGAUCUGGACAUCAAGGAUGUGGUCAACGUGCACCGGAAGAUGGCCGAUGGUUGGUACGAAGGCGAAAGGAUUAGAGAUGGGGUAACUGGAUGGUUCCCGAGCAACUACACCAAGGAAAUUUUCUCCUCCCACAUCCGGGCUAAGCACAUCAAGCAGCGCUAUAUGCUCCUGUCCUAUACGUCCAGGAUCAUCGAUACGACCACCUUGCAGCACGUCAAGAAGAAGUAGGAGAGAGUUUUGAAGAUGAUUGCAACCACGAAUUGUAUAUAUCUGUGUAAGAUUUGUAAGAAUAAUCGUUAGGCUUAAACUGUUACUAGGAAUGCAUGAAUGAGAAUUGCUGCAAUAAUUAGUUGAAAAUAGCUAGGAUUCUGCUUGUUUUUUUUUUCGUUCUCUUGAAAUUUGUCUAUAGAUCUAUACUUCAAAUUGUGCCCAAUAACACUUUGUUAAGCUUUAGGGAAGAAUGCAACAAGUCUUAAAAAUGUAGGUUCCAAAAUUGUUUAGUAGCUAGUAGUUGUACAUUUGUAAAAACAAAAUGUGUUUAAAUUAUUUCGCAAAAUUACCUCUGAUUAAACAUAAAUACACUUA